rnacentral:sRNA from 1 species
UAGGUAUUAUUUCCCGCUUGCAAGGACCC